rnacentral:rRNA from 1 species
UACGAAGGGUGCUAGCGUUGUUCGGAAUUAUUGGGCGUAAAGGGUGUGUAGGCGGUUUCGUAAGUUAAUUGUGAAAGCCCAGGGCUCAACCUUGGAAUUGCGGUUAAAACUGCGGAACUAGAGUAUGAUAAGCGAUGGCAGAAUUUCUAGUGUAGGGGUAAAAUCCGCAGAUAUUAGAAGGAAUACCGGUGGUGUAGACGGCUAUCUUGGUCAUUACUGACGCUGAGGCACGAAAGUGUGGGGAGCAAAC